rnacentral:tRNA from 1 species
GGCUGCAUAGUUCAAUGGAUAGAAUAUCGGAUUUCGGCUCCGAGGAUGAGGGUUCGAAUCCUUCUGCGGCUA